CAGGGUCUGUCGCUGCUUCUUCUUUUCCGUGCUCUUCAUGUCGUCAUAUAAGCUGGUGGUGUUACCACCGCAGAGAAGUUUCCUUCCAACAUUCGUCAUGUUUGCAGUGUUUUCAUUUAGUAAGUAAAUAAAGUUAAUUUAUAAUAUUCUUUUCACAGACCGGCAGUCAUAAAGCAAUGAACAACAAUUACAACACAAUAAAGAAAGAAUCACGUUACAAAAGAAUUUAAGAAACAGACAAAAGGCCGUCUCCCUUCAGCUGGAGGAUAAAACAAGAUGGUCUGAAAAUGCCACGUCGGUGUGUUCCUCCUCCCUCGCACAGAAGCAGCGUGGCAGGUGAGAUGAGUCCUCCGUCACAGGUGGUGCAGUCAGUGAAGAUGGUCACCUGCAGGAUCAAGGUAAUUGGCUCUCCAACCCACAUCCACUGCCACUGUACUGGAGGGAAGCUGGGACAGUGUUAAAGACUUUCUUCAGGCAGUGAUGGAAAUAAACCAUCCUUAACAUACAACACGCCAGCUCCUGUGUUGUUUGAUCUGGAGACAAUAAAUACAUUUAUAUUGAUUAUGUCAGUGAUGUAACUACAAUACAAAGUUACAGGAACCUAAACUUGGUUUAGAAUAAUUAAAUCUGAGACUUUGUUUCAUUGUGAGAUUAUUAAAUAUUUAAAUAUGUUAACAACUAAAUAUAACAUAAAUGUGAUCAUAUUUAAAAUAUAACUAAACAACAAAAGCUACAGUGACGACCUUGUACUCCUGUUCAGUAGAACAGGAUGUUGGAUGAUCACCUGAUUGUGGAUUUGAAAAUAAAAGUCGGGCUGACUUUGUUGUUAAUUAUUAUGUUUAAAUCAUA